rnacentral:misc_RNA from 1 species
GAAAGAUCGAGAAAACUCAAUUUCAGAUGCGAAAACGUCGAGGGGAUUUCACCCGAUAGGCCGUUAUUGGAGAGAUUCAAAGAGUUUAGAACUGGAAGAAACCCUAGCGACGAAGGGAUUUGUCCAGAGAAGAAAUUAUCCGCCAGAUUGAUGAUGCUCAAGGAAUUACACAAGCCGAUCGUCUCUGGAAUCGAACCGGAGAAUUU